rnacentral:rRNA from 1 species
GGGGCCCGCACAAGCGGUGGAUGAUGUGGAUUAAUUCGAUGCAACGCGAAAACCUUACCUACCCUUGACAUGUCCGGAAUCCUGCAGAGAUGCGGGAGUGCCCGAAAGGGAAUCGGAACACAGGUGCUGCAUGGCUGUCGUCAGCUCGUGUCGUGAGAUGUUGGGUUAAGUCCCGCAACGAGCGCAACCCUUAUCAUUAGUUGCUACGCAAGGGCACUCUAAUGAGACUGCCGGUGACAAACCGGAGGAAGGUGGGGAUGACGUCAAGUCCUCAUGGCCCUUAUGGGUAGGGCUUCACACGUCAUACAAUGGUCGGUACAGAGGGUUGCCAAGCCGCGAGGUGGAGCCAAUCCCAGAAAGCCGAUCGUAGUCCGGAUUGUUCUCUGCAACUCGAGAGCAUGAAGUCGGAAUCGCUAGUAAUCGCGGAUCAGCAUGUCGCGGUGAAUACGUUCCCGGGUCUU